UGCCAUGUGAAGUUGAAGUAUGCCCCCAUGAAUUCUGGGUAAUUUGUUGUUCGUUCCCUUUGCAGAAAUGUGUGCGGAAAAAAAUGGGAUCUGACAGGAUUUGCUUUGUGGAUGAAAAGAUGAAAAGGUGCUCUCUAUCUCUCUCUGUCUUUCCCCUGUUCGUGUUUUAUUUAAUUUUUUGAUUUUUUAUUGAGAUCAAGUCGAUGCGCUGGUGCAGCCUAUGGUACACUGGGCUAAUGAUGAAAGAGAGAACAUUGCUGCUUCUAUCACGUGCAGUAUGUGUGCAAACGUGUGAUAUAUGAGCAUGUGUGCGUGAGCUUCAAAUCCAGCUACUAACACUUUCUUUGCUCGCUCGCUCUCACACACGUGUGGUGUUAAUCUGAGCAUUGAUGCUAUAGUGGGAGGAUAAGUGAGGACUCGGAUUCUUCUGUGCCGUGGCAGAACUCUUUAUACCUGCAUGGCUUUUGAGUGACAUAAACACGGCUCAGUGUUGAUCGAUGCGCAGACAUCAGCACACCCCAGAGAUGGAUCAUCUACAGCCGCUGAAAACACUCCCAAGACGAGGCUGAAAGCUCUCCGCCAUCAUACCGAUAACACCAGAUAUAGUGCACUCCAGCUAUCUCACUCACACAGCAUAUGCAUAAAACACAAGAUAUCCAGCCAUCGCUUUCUCGCCCCAACAGGCACACAUACGCACGCAGCUCUAGGGUAAGCGAGGACAAGGAAAAUAAGGGUUGAAUUCCAACAUCAAAGGUUAUGUUUUGGUUACCAUAUGCCUGUGUUUCGACAAUGUUUUUUUUAAAAGGGAUAGUUCACCUAAAAAUGAAAAUUCUGUCAUUAUUUACUCACCCUUAUGCUGUUCCAAAACUGCAUGAGUUUCUUGCUUUUGUGGAACGCAAAAGGAGAUAUUUUGAAGAAUUGUUAUAAUUCUACAGUUUUGGUAACUAUUGACUUCCACUUUAUGGUCAAAACUAAGAUUUUUUUUUUUUUUUUUUUUUUUUUUCAAAAAUACCUUCUUUUAUAUUCCACAAUGAAUUUUUAAUGACAAAUUUCAUUUUCAGGUGAAAGAUCUCUUUAAUUUCAGUUUGGUUGGGAUGACACCAUAGACUAUAAAACAUGGACGUACUGUCCGUGAUGUCACCAUAGGUUUCUAAAGAGCAUUUUUUAAGGCCAAAGUGGGUGGAGCAGGCCGUCGCCAUCUUGGCAGCGUGUCACCGUGCGUCACUCACGGAUAAUCAAAAAUGGGCAAAGAGGCAGGACAUGGGUGGAGCUGAGCUGGUUGCUGAAACCACGCCCACCUAGCUCGAAAGUGGUGACAGCAGCGGCAAUCCACCUGUCACUCAAGUGGCCACGCCUUUAAUUAUGCAGAAGUAUAAGGCUUAAUAUAAUUUAAACGGAUGAGUUAUUAAAAAAAAAAUUCACCCCCUUCACAGUUGUCAUGAAGGACAAAAUUAGCUAUAUAAAACCAAAACUACUUUUUGUACCAGGCUGUAAACAUUUUCUGCUGUAAAGGUCUAUGGGAUUGACUCCCUUUUGGAGCCAGUCUCUAGUGGCCAGUCGAUGAAUCGCAGUUUAAGUAAUUCCCGUGUUGGUUUCAAGAGAGAGACUGGAAGGUUGCCGCUUGAAUGACACUAAAGGUAUGAUCACAUUCAUCAGUUUGGCAAAUCUUCACAGAAGAAAUCCAGUCAUUUCAAUAGGAAUCCAAGCAAUGUGGAAUUUUACGAAAGAUUUCCCUAUGCAGAUUUUGCAACAGGUUCAAGUUGAUUAAUGAAUUUUCAUGCUUUUACCAACAAAAAGCUGCCUGGUUUGAAAGUGACACUUGCGCUAGCUGUGCAUCACACAUCAAAUAGAAAAUGGAGCUUUUUUGUUCAGGAUAUUUAAUCAAAAUUUCAUCAAAUGUGAGUCCACUUUAACGUACUACAACUUUAUGCAUGUUUC
ensembl:lncRNA